CCUUUGGUGGAGUACUCUGAGUGGUGCAAGAUUUCUCAUAUCCGAUCAACCAAUAUAAACGGUUUGAAAUAUGUACAGUCGGACCUCGAAGACUACGACCUCGAAGACUAAAGGAUGCCAUGGAAUGGUUAUUUGAAGCUUAUUCACAAUAGUGUUUGUCAGGCUGGAUAAAUGUAGUUGGUUCAGCUGGAAAUUCUGCAAAUGAGAAGGGCGAGAAAAUCCAUUGAAAAACAACGCAAAUGUAGAAAUAAAAAUUAAGAGAUGAUCCAAAAAGCGCAGAU